AUGUGCGUCAUCUGUUCUGUGCCUGCGCUCUUCCUGUUUACCGGCAUUCAACAGAGGUCUGUGGUUAAAACACAGCCGUGUGGGCAUUUUAACACCGCUUGUGUCAUUUUGUGGGGCUUUGUGUACACUGAAGAGUCUAUUGUAAACAACCAUUACGUGCGGUCUGGCUCGUUACACUGCCUAGUCCCAGCAUUCCCGUGUGUUUACCGUUUGAGUGGGGACAUCCAAUAUAUGCUGUUUGGCAUCUACUUCAUUUCUAUCCCGUGGAUACUGACGUCAGCUCUGCUUUCUGGUGUGGCAAGCGGCUGCGUUAUUUGGAGCUGUGUGUCCGACGGCAGUGAGGCUUUCCUUCACCGUGUGCUGUGUUAUGCUGUGUGA
rnacentral:lncRNA from 1 species